rnacentral:rRNA from 1 species
AGCGAACGCUGGCGGCAGGCCUAACACAUGCAAGUCGAACGAACCUUUCGGGGUUAGUGGCGGACGGGUGAGUAACACGUGGGAACGUGCCUUUAGGUUCGGAAUAACUCAGGGAAACUUGUGCUAAUACCGAAUGUGCCCUUCGGGGGAAAGAUUAAUCGCCUUUAGAGCGGCCCGCGUCUGAUUAGCUAGUUGGUUGAGGUAAUGGCUCACCAAGGCGACGAUCAGUAGCUGGUCUGAGAGGAUGAUCAGCCACAUUGGGACUGAGACACGGCCCAAACUCCUAAGGGAGGCAGCAGUGGGGAAUCUUGCGCAAUGGGCGAAAGCCUGACGCAGCCAUGCCGCGUGAAUGAUGAAGGUCUUAGGAUUGUAAAAUUCUUUCAACGGGGACGAUAAUGACGGUACCCGGAGAAGAAGCCCCGGCUAACUUCGUG